rnacentral:rRNA from 1 species
UCCUUGAAAUACCACCCUUGUAUGUUUGAUGUUCUAACUUAGACCCAUUAUCUGGGUUGAGGACAGUGCCUGGUGGGUAGUUUGACUGGGGCGGUCUCCUCCCAAAGAGUAACGGAGGAGCACGAAGGUGGGCUAAUCACGGUUGGACAUCGUGAGGUUAGUGCAAUGGCAUAAGCCCGCUUAACUGCGAGAAUGACGGUUCGAGCAGGUGCGAAAGCAGGUCAUAGUGAUCCGGUGGUUCUGUAUGGAAGGGCCAUCGCUCAACGGAUAAAAGGUACUCCGGGGAUAACAGGCUGAUACCGCCCAAGAGUUCAUAUCGACGGCGGUGUUUGGCACCUCGAUGUCGGCUCAUCACAUCCUGGGGCUGAAGUCGGUCCCAAGGGUAUGGCUGUUCGCCAUUUAAAGUGGUACGCGAGCUGGGUUUAGAACGUCGUGAGACAGUUCGGUCCCUAUCUGCCGUGGGCGUUGGAAGAUUGAAGGGGGCUGCUCCUAGUACGAGAGGACCGGAGUGGACGAACCUCUGGUGUUCGGGUUGUGUCGCCAGACGCAUUGCCCGGUAGCUAAGUUCGGA